AACAUAUUACUGCACAUAAUAUAGAGAGCACAACAUAUAAACAACAAAUUUAUUGAAUACGAUAGGAGAUUAGUCUCCGAAUACAAUUCAUCAUAUUAGUCUCCGAAUACAAUUCAUCAUAUUAGUCACCGAAUAUAAUUCAUCAAUAAUGCUAGAAAAAGGUACUAUAUAAACACUCUUAUAUUUCUUCCAUAGCGAGAGACAAAUGAGACAACAAACAACGAGUGAGCAGGCCAGAGACAAUUUGGCAUGAUUGGCAUGAUAUGCAACCUGAGAGCGACAAAAACAAAGCAUGGAUUCCACUGGUGAACUAUGAGAUGCAACUCGUCAGGAAGGGCCAAAGGGCUCGGAGAUGCUUUUGCUCCUUCUACCGCAAGCUUUCGGUCCUCUAUGGGAGGCCGAGGCGCCGCAUCAAGGGCCAACAAUAGGACGCAUGUGGAGCCCAUGACAACCUUCAUGGGUACAUACAAGAAACUGAGUUACAUCAGUUUUAAGCCAACAACACAACAAACAAAUAAUUGAGAGCUUACAGUAGGCAAGUAAGGUGUAUACAAAAAGAACUGAAGUUGUGUUGAUAAAAUAACUUAAGACGCCCAAACAUAUGGAAAAGCAUUUAUAACUAACUACCUAAGCACUUUCUCCAUUACUAGUGGUUCAGGUGUCAAGUUUAAAUACUGAGGUGAGCAUUAACUCAAUUCCGAGUGUUCCAUUAAUCAGCAUGAAGUGUGAAACUUCUAUGGUCACAGAACUAAGUAUGCAUAAACAUUAGCUUUUCCUCUUUGAACUAGGGGAGAUACCGAGUAUGCCGCCUCCAUCACAGAAAAAAUUCAAGUGUGGUCGAGUACUCAUGGUGGAAAUUUGACAAAAAAGUGCAUCGCCUUGAUACACAAACGGCAAUGAAUGACCAUAACUUAACCAUGUGCGAUACCCCUCCUAUUUGACGCUUAAAUAGGAGGUCCCCUCUUUGCCACCUCCUCAUCGCUGAACCACCAUCUACAUAACUGAAUAACAACAAAGACGUACACAUACGCAUCGCGUGAAAAGAACACGUUCGCUUGAAAAAGCACCAGCAGCAAGACACUUAUUACGUGCCAUGGAUACAAAGUGACGGGAUAAUAGCCCGCGGGUAUACCAAAGCGGAGGAAACACAAUUAAUUGCAAUGAUGAACUAGGCGGUCAUGGUCAUACGGAGUUUGCAACUGUUUUUCCUCACUGCUAAAAAAUUAUGAAACAUUCUCAGUUCAGUUUUGGUAACACAAUUAAUUGCAAUGAUGAACUAGUACAGCCAAAUAAGGAGAUAGUAGCAAUAUUUUUCUAACAAUGCCUCUAGCUAGGUACAUCAAGAAUAGCUCCAGGAUUUGUAACCAAGAAGAUCAUCAGUUCAAGUUUGUAAUUACAAGAAUAAAACUGUAUAGCACCAGCACCAUCCCGCUAGUUUAUUCUUGAAUGAGACCAAACAAACCUGGUACAAAUUAACCGCAGCCACAACAGGGAGCAGAACAUGUGGAGAGGGAGAGGGAGAUGGAUACCUUCCAUGGCGUCCGAUAGGCAAGCACUAGGGUUGGAGUAGCGGGAAACCGACCUUCAAGGAGGAAAGAUUCAGUCUUCCUCGCACAUCAGGCAGUGAGGGAAGGGAGCUGCCAGACCUAAACAAACAGGGGCGAGGGGAGGGAGAUAAGAAGCAUAUGGCUGCCGGUGCUAUUGUUGUGGCCGAGGUGGAAUCGACUCCGUGGUUGGGGCAUAGGAGCAGCUGGAGCACUCCUACAAUCCUACUCUCCCUCCCUCCUCAACUGCUCGGUCGCGCCAUGGCCGAUCUGGGCGCAGCUCCACAAGGACGGCUAUCUGGGCGCGCCGCUUGACCACCUGCUCGGUCCGGUCGUGGUGGAUCUCCAUCCCUUUCUCUUGGCUCCUAAUGAGGGGACGAGGAGGGGAUGGGGGAGGCCAUAGCCGGCGGAGAAGGAGGCGGCUUUCCUCGGGAGUGGGAUGGGUGUGGUACACGAGGGUGUAAAACACAAAGAGCAUGUAACCUGCUUGUGACAUAGCAUAGAAAAGGUACAUCCCCUCAUAAAAAUACCAAGCAAAGAAAGCACAUCCUAUGUAAUUUAAACUAUGACUCCAUCUAGGUUGCAACUGAAACUACGUGGCCACCAACAUAUCAUCCUGUCGCAACAAAACCAGGAGAUAACACACAUCCUAUGUAAUCUAAACUAUUACUAGCAUACACCUAGAUUGCAGCUGAAACUAGGUUGCCACCAAACAUAUCAUCUGUCGCAAGAAAACCAUGAGAUAAGACACAUCAUAUGAAAUCCAAUUUAUGACUAGCAUACAUCUAGGUUGCAACUAAAAGUGCACGGUCACCACACAAGCAAGGACAUAUAGAAGCAUGAGGGGAACACGUCCACUAACCCUGAAGCGAGUUAGCAAACACCUGACGCCCACGAGAGGGUAGCUUGUAAAUCCAUACAUGUCCAUCCUGAAAAAAAUCACCGAAAAAACAUGUACUCGAGUCAGCAAUCCGCAUCCGCCCAUCUCCCUUCUGUCGAAUGAGAAAUAAGUAAUAACUGAAGAAUGAACAGGAAUCACGAUUCGUGUGCGGGAUGUAUCGCACUACCCUAAGCGAGAGAGAGGGGGAGAAACACGAGAGUCCGAGUCGAUGGGGAACAUAAGAGGACGAGCUAGGGCGCUAACCUGAUGCGGAAAAUUCCGGCGCGGACUAGAGAUCUACCGCUCCUCGCCCCCGUCCCCGUACUUGUCUCCUCCCGAUCCGGCUGCGUACAGAGCAGUAUGAAGUAUGCAACGACUGUAUGCAGCGACCGUGUGAGAAAUUAGAGGCCGCCGACGAGUCGUUCCCCUACGCGAGCUCGCGCAUGGCGCUCACCGGUAGCCGCGUGCCGAGAGACAGCGAUUACCUGCGGAUUUCCGACGGAUUCCUUCCCGUGCGUCGACAGCGGCGGAGUCGCACCUCCCCUCCACUACUGCGCGGUGUAUGGAAUGAGGGGAGCAGCAGCAGCAGGCCGGACAACUAAGAUACGGCGGGGUGGUGAGGGUGCCGAGGUGGAGGGGUGUGGAUUUGUAUUUUGCAUCCAUCUUCGUUUCGUUUGGGUUCCAUUAUUACCCAUGGAUGGAUGGAUGGAUCCCCACCCCACGGAUCACCAUGAUACAUGUGCAUUUGUGACUGGUCACUCGCCAUGUUACUAAUGACGCACCACCUACAAAUGCGCCAUUAGUAACCCUGGUUACUGGGUUACUAAUGACGCACCAGCUGGUGGUGCGCUAUUAGUAGUUUUGCAAAAAAAGAAUAUAGUAGUGGCGCACUGGGUGAGUGGUGCGCCAUUACUAGUUAAACUAGUAAUGGCGCACUCUGCCUCGAUGCGCCAUUAGUAUUUUUGGGAAAAAAAGUUUGUUAGUAGUGGCGCACCGUGUGUGUGGCGCGCCAUUAGUGUCCAUCACACUAAUGGCGCACGUGCACAUGGUGCGCCACUGCUAUAUAGGAGUGGCGCACCACUUGUCUGGUGCGCCAUUAGUGUCUAUAUUAUCUAUAGCCUUUUUCCUAGUAGUGAUGGACCCUUUGUGUUUAAAGCCCUCCAUGGACUCUUACGUCCAUUACCCUUCAUAGCUUGAAGUCUCCAUUAACGUGGACAUAUGAUAGAACCACCUAUCGGUACCAUGCCAAAAAUCUUCGUGUCAUCUUUGUGUUUGAUCUUCCUAUCCUUACCCUCAACAUACAUGUGCAACUAUUUACUUGACACUGCUAUACUCUUAGACUUGCAUUUGUAGGGUGUGCUUGACUUUCCAUAAAUGCUAAAACUUGCCAACAACUAAAAAUGGGAAAAGGCCAAGUUUUUAUUUGGUUAAGUAGUCUAAUCACCCCCCUGUAGAUAUACUUUAGAUCCUACACGCACCCAUACCAUCCUCGCCCCUUGCCACCAUGCCACGUCAACACGUUCCAUGCCAUGGCCUCGAGCCUCCAACCGCUGGCCAGGACUGCACCUUCCCUUGAUCACGGUGUCCAGCGUCCUAAACGGUCAUCUGCACUGCCCCAUCCUAGUCCACCUUGUCCCAUUUACAUCACGGGGUAUAUUUUUGCAAAGUCUUUUUUGCCUGCAAUAAAUAUCAUAUAUGCAUGUUGUGGUUGUUGUAUGUUUUAAACCGUGUAUCGAAUGAACAUGUUUCAUAUAUGAAAAAUGUUAUACUCAAUAUGCUCUACAUGAUGGUUACCUUUGAAUGCAUAUUUGGGUUAAUUAUAUGAUUUAAAUGGUGUUGCAAAAGUGCUUCGUGGAUAACCUGUUGAAAACUAUUAUUUUAAUCAAACUUGUGAGGAUGAUUGCAUCUAAUAAAUUGCUCUUAUGGAUGUGCUUCCCUCAUGAGUUUUUCUCUACGAUAUGUCUAAUUUCAUGUCAUUCCAUUGGUUUCUAGCUAAAACAUCUAUGUAUUGAUCAUUCAUUUCUCUAAAGUGGCCUUGAUGUUAAAACCGUUUUGUUGUUAACUGUUAGUUCCAUUUUAAAAGAAUCAUACUAAUAAAUCCAUGCAUACUUUGAACUUGUGCCAAUAGAAUAAUUUGAAGUAUGUCAUGUCUACUUUUUGCUAGUAUUCUUGCCAUGCCAUGAAAUUCAUUUUUAGAUAUAUUUUCAUCAUGUGAACAUGCCUACACAAUGUUGUUGUUUUGAGAUAGCUAAAUAAUUCCAAGUCUGAAAUCCGUUCAUCAAUUUAGAAUUUUGUCUUGUUAAUUUCCAUGGAUCUACAACUCUUUUGAGUAUGCUCACUUCAUAUGUUUUGAAAUACAUGUAAUUCACUAUCAUUUUGGGCCAUUUUGCCAUGAAUGGAAUUUGCAUUAUAUUUAAUUCCUUCGUCAAACAUGUGAGCUUGUUAAAAACUAGUGCACAUCUCUACUCUAAUUUUUCACUAUUUUUGAGAAUUUGUAACGUUCAACAUUGCAUCUUGUGUGGAUUAUAGCCACAUUUCUUUGCUUGAUCAUUCUUAUGUUUAAUGAAAUUAAGUCCAUUAAGUCAAGUACCAUGCUAUGCAUUUUUGUGCCAUGAAAAGUUUGUAGCAAGCUUAAACUCUUGCUGUAAAUUUGCCUUCAUGAUAACUCUAUUUGUGAAAAUCUAUGAUUUUCACCAACUCCUUAUCUGCUAUAUUUUCUAGACAUUUUUUGAGCAUCCUAGCUAUUAAUCCAUGAUUCUUUUCACCGUGAUAACUUUUGAUGAAAUGAAUUGCAUAUAACAUACUACUGCCCCAUGUCAUGUUUGUGCAUUUAGGUUCUUGUAGCUUGUUGUUUUGAUGGUUGCAAAGUGUUAUGUUGCUGUUUUGCGCAGAUUGUAACUAAACCUUGAGCGAUUGUAAUUGUCGAACCGUGGAUCCGUUUUGAACAUGUUGUAAAUGAAACAUGCCUAGAAUUUCAUAUAUAUAGUUGUAUAAUAUCAUGUUGCAUCCAUGAUUAAAAAUGUUUUGGUUGAUGUUUGCAUACAUUUCGGAUUCGUGACAUGUUAAUCUUGUGUGUGUCAUAUCUUGUAGACCAUAGCUCCGUUUUAAAUAUUGUAUAUAUGCAAAUCACCUAGAAAUAUGUGUAAAAUCACAUGGUGCAUUUUGUUUCCCUGUUUAGUAAAUAUAUAAUAUGUUUAGGCAGAUCUGGACCAAUUUCUAAAUUUACAUGUGGGGUCAUUUUAGAAAUACUAUAUGUUUUUUAUGUCACAUUUAAAAUGCCUAGAUAGUGUAGUUUCAUUAUGCUUCACCUCUUGCCAUGAUAACCAACAUUUAGAUUUUUUGAGUACCUAAACAAGGGUGAACUAAAUAAUUCGAAUGUGGAGUUUCACCAAUAUAGAACUCGUUGCCUAUUGAACUUCACUUAACGUGUUGAAGUUGAUUAUUAUGCUCUACCCCGCCUUGUAUUGCCUAUUAUACUUCACUUAAUGUGAACUAAAUCAUAUCAUGAAGAUGGUGUGGAGUUUAUCAUGUCAUUUGAUAGUUUGCAGAUUCGCUUCUCCUCGCUUGUGUCCCGAAAGCAUUUCGGAGUGUGAGGAAUCAUUCUACGAUGCCCAUUCAUCUACUUCACGGAUUCGUUCUACUUUCAAGAGGUAUCUUAGACAAGAUGACCACUACUAUCUUUGCUAUGCGAGGCGUCUCUGUCACAGCCCCACACCUAGAAUUGUUUGUCAUUGCAUCUCAUGCAUGCAUUCCUAUUUUUUUCUUUUGGAAAUGAAAUGAGGAGUGAUCAAGCCUCAUCAUUUAAAUUUUUGUCAAACAAGCAACAUAAAUAUUGCUUCAAAUUGAUUCAAGGAAAUGUCCCUAAUUUUCCAAUAAAAUAUUGGACUGAAAUAAAAAUGUCAAUCAAUAUUUUGGAUCAUACAAACUUUUUAUAUUGGAUUUUUGAAUUAAUCAAACAACUAUUUUAAAUGGAAUUAUAUUUUCUAUAUAUAAAAUAUAGCUUUAUAAAUACUGAAACUAUUAUGUGGUAUUGGACAUUUAUAUCUAUGCCACAUAAAAAUAUUACAAGGAUUUUGCAAUAUGAUUUGGAUUUAUUUUCAAAUCAACACAAAUGUUAGCAAAUAGAAAACAGAAAAGAAUAAAGAGAAGAAAAUAGAAAACCUUACCUGUUAGCUGGCCCAGGAAGGAGAUGGCCCAGCCCACUGGCCUCUUCCAGUCAUCGUCUACCUCUGCGAGAAGGCAGAGGCGAGACGAGGCACGGCGUCGGGCGAGCCAGCUCCUGCUUCGCGCUGGCGGCCACCCAUGCAUCCAUAUCCGUCUGCGGCCACCACCUAGACCCCCCGAGCUCAUCCCUCUCUCCAGUCUCUCCCCUAUCUCUCUGCUUCUCCCUCCCCCAUGGAUUCCAGCGAGGCCGUCGCCGCCGUCAGUCGCAGCCGCAGCCUCAGGCUUCCCCUCGCCUUCCUGACCGGCUCAUUAGCUCCGCCUCGUCGAGAAGCUCCUCGCCGUCAACCUCCCCGAGCACCCGAGCCACGGAGCAUCGCCAUCGCCGUCGUCCCCUUCACCUCCGACCGCCGGACCUUCCUCGUCGAUUCGCGCCAACCAAAGCGUCCCCGAGCUCGUCGUCGAUGCCAUAGGACUCAUGGUGAGCUGCUGCAUCGUUUACCCCCUCUCCCCGCGUUUCCCCGUGCCCCUAGAUAGCAAGGCCACCGGAACCGAGAGCUCCUCAACGCCGGCCAUGUCGCCGUCGUCGUUGUGGUCUUCCACCCAAGUGUCCGAGCUCAGGCAUGGGUUCCUGGAGCUCCGUAGAUGAUGUUGAGACCGUCAGCCGCCCUUCCCGUGCCCUGCAGCCAUCACCCGCACAAGGCCGAGCUCCGGCCGCCGCUUCCGCUCGUCGCCGACCUUUUCCGGCCACCCGAGCUCCUCCUGAUGCCCCUGCCAGAUCGGGCGCUUCGCUAGCGUCCCGUAGCUGCAAACCGCGCUCGAUUUGGACCUCUGUAGCAUGAAUUAGCUCAACUCCGGCGAGCCCUCCGCCGCGGCUAUGGUCGCCGGCGACCAUCCUCCGAUGAGGGCGGACGUGGUAAGCCUAAUUAACCCUCUAACACCCCCCUAGCCGCUGACAGUGGGCCCCAGGGUGGGUCAAACCCCAGUUAAGGGCUGGUCAACUCGGGGAUUAGCCCCUGGUCACUAACCAGUGGAUCCCACUGGUCAGGUUUGACCUGGCCCAGCCCCUGUUGACCAGAGACGUCACUGUGACGCAAUAAAGGAUUUUAUAAUAUAAAAGAAAUUCCAGAAUAUGCCUAAAACUUCUAAAAAUCAUAUAAAAUAAUCUGUAAGUCCAAUGAAAAUAAUUUAUAUAUGAAGAAGGAUCAGAAAAAUCCAAAGAAUCUGAUUAUGGCAUUUUCAUGCAUGUUCGAUAAAGUUAGAAUCACCAAAUAGGCAAAAUGGUGAAUAGGAUAAAUUUCAUAUUUAGUUUGGAGAUGGAAUUUGAUACUUAUUUGAAUUCCACUUCAAUUGUUAUGACCAAACAUUGGUCAAUGCAAAUCAGUACCUCAAAAUACUAACUCCAUGUAUGUUGGAACAAUUUGUUAUGAGCAUCAGGUCGAAUCAAUUAUAAGGGUACUUGGAAAAAUACCGACUUGAGGUGAUGUUUGAAUCCUAAUUCAAACCAACUUCAACUUAAGAAAUGAUAUCCACAUUUGCCCUGCCACCUUUCAUUUCAUGUCUUGAGCAUGCAUCAUAGUGUUGCAUUUCCGUGAAGUGAUUGUUGUUCCUUUCUUGUUUGCCGGUGUUGUUCCUUCCCGGUAGACGAUGUUUCCGACGAUGUUAUCGUUGACAUUGAUGAAGAUUCAUUGCUAUCUUCAGACGUGUCAGGCAAGCAAACCCCCCUUGAGCAUAUUGAUAUAAACCCACUCUCUCGCUCCUGCUCUCUUUUACUGCAUUAGGACAAACACGAUUCAACUGUACAUGUUAUCGGUAGUUGAACCCAUUCCUCUGCAUGACCUGAUUUUGUCACAGUAAAUAGUUGAAACCACUUAGCAUGAGUAGCAACUGCUGGAGCCUUGUUGUGCUUACUCAUCCAUGCUUGUUUACAAUGCCUGCUAUGCUUAGAGUCGUGUCGGGUCUGAUCCAUCUGGAUGAUGAAUCGGAAUGGUUGUGAUCAUGUUCUACAGUGUGAGAGUAAAAGUGUGAAUCCGAUUUGGUAAAGGUAGCGAUGAGAGGCCAUGUAGGAGUACAUGGUGGGUUGUCUCAUUGGAACCGUCCUUAAGAACUGAGUUCUGUGUGUGUUAUCCAAGACAAGAUACUACCACACAUUCGGAUACUUAAUUGACCCUCUUGGCUUAUUAAUCGCCUAGAUCUCUGUCCAGGAGUUGCAACUAGUUUCUGGUGUUUGUAGGAAAAGUGUUGGUGGCUGUGUUUAGCUCUGCCCGACGGGGUAGGCUUCUCUGCGGUAGAUACACAGUGGCACGGUUUACCAAGUGGCACCUGGAUGGUGGGCUUGGGAACCCUGCGUACAUCGUUUGGGGCCGUAGAGGAAACCUCGGCCGGACUUCCUUGCGGGUUCAGUCUCAAAUAGGCGAUAAACCUGGACUAGGGUCUUGUGUGGUUAACGGUCGUGGCCGACACCCACGCCAGUGCUUCCGCUUGAAGGUUGCCGAGAUGCAUGACGUGCACAUGGCGAUAACUGGUGGGAGCGUGUGUGAAGAAGUAUACCCCUGCAGGGUGAUUCAAUCUGUUCGAAGAGCCGCGUCCUCGGAUAUGUACUACUUGGAAACAUUACGUGGUACAUACAUUUAAAUGGAUACUCUAAAACAUGCAAGAUAAGUGUGAGUGCUAUGGAAGGCCUUCUCGUUGGGAGACGAGAGUGGAUCCAUAGUGGUGUAUUGCAUUGGUGAAUUUGUGGACUCUUGUGCGCUAUCCCACCUCAAAGAAAGAACUUGUAGUCGUAGUACAGGUUAGGCAAGAGUCAAAGCUGGCUUGCUGCAAUCAAACUCCACAAUCCUUUCACUGAAACAUGAUGCAUAUGUAGAUAGUUCUGAUGUAAGACUUGCUGAGUACCUUUGAACUCACGGUUGCUUUAUUUAUGUUUUUGCAGAGAAGACUUAGACUCAUUAAAAGG
rnacentral:lncRNA from 1 species